rfam:Dokdonia sp. 4H-3-7-5 chromosome, complete genome.
AUAACCAGGAGUUGGUCUAUUAGAGAAGUCAGCAGAAGUCAUAGUAGCUAAAGCCUGAUAUUUUAGUGAAGGAC